UCUAUCAGAAAACAAUUGUCCGUCCUAACACUCUGAUAUCUGAAACAGGAUCUCUGACUCACUAGCGAGGGAGAGAGGUGUCACUCCUGGAACAGGUGAGAGGGAGACCAACAGCCCCCUGUUUCGAUGUGACAGUCUGCAAGACCCCAGCCACCUUGAAGAGGGGAAGAAGAGAUAUUGAAGGAGAAAUUAAGCUGUUUCAUGGAUGAACUGGAAGAAGUCACUUAGGCCAGCGUUAACAUAAACAUCUCCUGGACCCUCUCCAAUGCCAGUACAUCCCUUCUUAGAUAAGGGGCCCAAAGGUUACGGUCCCGGAUUGCAAGGCAUCUGACCACAAAAUCCUACAAAGGAUUGCGAGGACAACUGAGAGGAUCAUCGGGGUUUCUCUUCCAUCUCUGAGAUACUUACCAGGAAUGCUGGACACACAGGCCCUUAGCAUUGGCGAGGAUCCUUCCCAUCCAUCCCACAACCUCUUUCAGCCCCUACCAUCAGGCCAGAGAACCUUUGGAUCACAAACCCAUCAGGAUCCAACAACCGGAAUGAAAAAUGAUUCAAGAUUCAAGAUUGUUUAACGUCAUUUCCAGUACACAAGUGUAAAGAGGACAGAAUAAUUGCAAUUUCAGCAGCAUCUUCUUAAAAGAAAUUUACUUUCCAGGUGCCGGUCAUGUUGCUGCAGGCAAGCUUUUCCAGGGGACCUGUAGCUCUCCGUACUUCAGCACGAGGCCAUGAACUCGAGUGGGUUCGUUCCUUUGCUUCAGUGAGGGAGAUGAUAGGUUGCACUUUAAUGUAGCAACUUCGUCUGCUAACGGCAGAAAGACUCGCUGUGUGACAUCGGCUAGACAGUCGGCAUCAGGCGAAGAAAAUCCACACAAAGGAACGCUUGUGCUUGGAGUAAAUUAUUAUUAUGAUCUAUCGUAUGCAAAACAGCAUUUAUGUGCAAUAUUCGUAUAAAAAGUGCAUGCAAACGGUUUAAUUUCUAGGCCAAAUACUGUGUGUCAGAACAGAAUUGCACAGUUGGAAGCAGUCUUAAAUCAUUUUCAUAGAACUUGAAGUUGCUUCAGGAUAUUUUGCUUCAUUAUCUUUCGGGCAUAUUUAAAGUGGAGGCCGAUAGGUUCUUGAUUGGUCAGGGUGACAAAAAUAGUGAGAUGAAGACACCAACAGAGAAGUCUGUUGUCACCAGUACAAUCUUCUAUGUGGUUUAGAAUCUCAGAGAACAAUGGCAACCA